ncrna:unclassified sequences Actino-pnp RNA
AUUGGUCCUCGGUGGUGGCUUCCGGAAUAAAUCCGUGAGCUUCGAUCGAAGAUCCAU